AGAUUCCUGGAGUAUGCGUUGAGCUGAUUUAAUUGAACCUACAUAUUCUUAAUGGGAUUCCGGGUGCGAAAGACUUAUGUAAUGCCUCCAUAGAGUGGACUACAGAAUCUCAGCCAAGGAAGUACCCACCUUAUCACUCGAUAGGGCGUCAAUUAAAAUGCUUGACGGUAUGCCGGGAAUUUU
rnacentral:sRNA from 1 species